UGGAUAGAUCGGUGAAUGAGACUUGCACCAGUGGCUCUUGUGUUUAGGGAGACAAACAUCACUGUCAUAGUGAUGAAAGGUCAUUCACUCUUCUUGUUUUAUGGUGCAUUACAUAAAUCAACCUCUAAACCUCUUAUUCUCUCUCUCUAAUUUUUUUUACCUUUCUGGAGUAAUUGAAAAGGUAAUUUGACUCUUUCUUGUGUAAUUGAUUGCAAAUUACCUCUCUCUCUUCUCUCUCUCUCUCUCUCAUGUGGGUAAGAAAAAUCACAUGGUGGGAUGAAGAGUAAAGAAGUUGGGCCCUAUGAAGUAUGGUUCACUGGUCAUGUUAGGUGGGGGGACAAUACAUUCAAUAUGUAUGACUGAAAAAAGGACGAAAAAUGUUUGACAGAAUGCCUCAGUGGGCAUCUCUGUAUUCACUUGAAGAUGUAAUGGAGAUUACCAUUGAUAGAGAGCAUCUGAACAUUGGGUUGAAGCAACCAGAUUUGCUUUUUCUGAAUGAGGUGAAUCUACAUUGACUCUUUCGGUUGGUCCUUUAAAUUGGAUAAAAAGCACAGGAAACAAGAAGCAAGAAGCUAUCGAAGAAUUGAAGAAAGCAAUAUUCAUAUAAUCAAACAGAGCAUACUAGUUUCCAAAUUGAAGAUUUCAUUCAAGGCUUUCAUCUCCUAGUCUUGUUAAAGUCUGAGCUACUGUAUGUUUUAAAAUAAUACUUUCCCUUUGUAGAGUUGUAAUUUACUCUAAAACUGUCAGAUCAUUAACGUGAACAAAAUGAUACAGAAAAUAUAGUUUUCCUAAAUCCAUAUGAUUACAAGUUGACAUUUCUUAGGUACAACAUGAUUACUUGCUCUGUAUAUCAGUUAUCAGGUUUUCCAACCAAAUCUAUUACAGGAAAAAAGAAGCAGCUGACAUGCAAAGAUGUAAAUGCACCAUUAAGAGAACAGUUUCAGCCCAGAGGUCCAUAUGAUACCAGAGAAUCCUACGAAAAUUUUCUGGCACUUUUGUCAGUUGGUAGAUGAGUUCUUUGACAGACCUAUAACAAGCACCCAAGGUCAAUAAAAAGUAUUAAGUUUUAGCAGGGAAGGAUUUUUUUUUUU